UACGUAGGUGGCAAGCGUUGUCCGGAUUUACUGGGCGUAAAGAGCGCGCAGGCGGUCGUUCAAGUCGCGUGUGAAAGCCCCCGGCUCAACUGGGGAGGGUCACGCGAUACUGAUCGACUCGAAGGCAGGAGAGGGUAGUGGAAUUCCCGGUGUAGUGGUGAAAUGCGUAGAUAUCUGGAGGAACACCGGUGGCGAAGGCGGCAUCCUGGACCGAUACUGACGCUGAGGAGCGAAAGCUUGGGGAGCAAACAGG
rnacentral:rRNA from 1 species